rnacentral:rRNA from 1 species
UACGAAGGGGGCUAGCGUUGUUCGGAUUUACUGGGCGUAAAGAGCGCGCAGGCGGUCGUUCAAGUCGCGUGUGAAAGCCCCCGGCUCAACUGGGGAGGGUCACGCGAUACUGAUCGACUCGAAGGCAGGAGAGGGUAGUGGAAUUCCCGGUGUAGUGGUGAAAUGCGCAGAUAUCAGGAGGAACACCGGUGGCGAAGGCGGAUCUCUGGGCCAUUACUGACGCUGAGGAGCGAAAGCGUGGGGAGCGAACAGG